CCGGGGUCACUACAAAAGCGCUGGCGCCUUCUUUUGAAGGUGAAAAACUACGCUAGCUAAGAAAAAGAAAAGGGCUGCGCUAAUGGCAAGGAGCAAGAAAAGGGCAGCUAGCUCGAAAUCCGAUAAAUCGAAUACCUCCUGGCUUCAGUUAUGAGAGAGAACUCCAAGGCAGGAUAAAGACUGAGUUGGAUUCAGCCGCGUGGGGAAUGAAACAACAUUCAUGGAAUGAGUUGAGGCAAAACCUCCAGCUCUUUUUGAGAGUCAGGGGCUUUAAAAGCGCUUUAAAAAGGGCUGUCUGCAUUACUGGAUUCACUAUAUCAAAUUGUAGUAAAAACAAGGGGCCACGUAGACUAUUCUGAGGUGGUAUGCUAAAUCCAUGAUCAACUGAUGUAGCUAGUGUGACUAAAGCAGCAGCUAUUGGCUUAACUGGUUCUAAACUCUCCCACCCGAUAAAGGAAUUGAAAGACUACCCCGGGCCACGUAGACUAUUCCCUUCCGCGGACAUUCUUUUCUAGAAGGAAAGUAGCAAAGCCGAACGCAAAUACACAUGCAAAUUGCGUCGACUACCUCAUCACUGUCCAAAAUGGGGGAUACCGCUAUUCAUACAUGGAUGGACGAGGGACUCCGCUGACAACAUCAGUAGAUGACUUUUCUCGCGGAAUGCUAUUAACGUUGGAAAAAAACACUGCUCUCAAACUCACCCUCCGGGUGAUAGGUAGAAGCAUUAGUACCUAACGGAGCGGUAUCUAACCAAAAAGGGAGGUGAUGUUCUUUUUAUAAACAGGAUGGAGCAUGGCUUCCUUUCUUCUUAGAUACAUUUCAUUCAUUCCAUUUCUCUAUAGUUUACACCUGAACAUCUUGCUAAUCCUGACAGAUCUCGAAAAGGAUGGGGGCACUAGAACCAAAUCUACAUACACAUCGAAACUUCCUAUCUCAGCCAAGCUAGCACCUUCAUCCCACCAAUGCAUUGUACGACUCUCCACCCCCUUUUCCUCCCUCAUGAAAUCCUAAUUUCCCGCAAUGAAAUUCGAUUUCGUUCAUGUCGGCGGUUGGCAAAACGGCCCUGAGAUCCGGGACUGGUAAAACAUGGGUGCCCAAUUUGCUUUUCCGUGCUCCGCCUUAGUGCCCUUAUGAAGGCGGCGGGGAGUCCUUAGCCUUUGAACCAAACUCUAGGGAACGCUCAAUUGCCUGACGUCUCAACUGCAAUGGUGAACUCAGUGACAUACACUGAAAUGGAUUGCAUCUAUUGUUCCAAACAAGGCUGAUAUUAGCAUAAAAGCCCUUCCAUGCAAUUUCUUGCUUCGCUCUACAGACGAAAGUGCCGGAUAGUCAAUGGUAACCAGAAGAUCUAUGGUUUUCGAGAGAAGGUAAUUGGAAAAACGAUUCAUUCCUUUGCUUUCUUUCAGAUAUCUAUUCAAUAAGAUGAUCUGACCUUACCUGAAAACUAGAUUCAUGAAGAAGCCCAAAAAGUGCCGGGCUUAGUGCAGCCCAGUUCCUAGCCAGUGUGGGGUUCUGCUAUGGAUAUUCGGUCCACUCCAGAAUUCCAUUCAUUUUUCAAACGUAACUCGAUUGACUCAAUUCACAAACGGCAAGGAAGUCAAAAGUGACGCUUACAGGUCGUACGACAAUUGCUUCUCUUCCGGGACUACAUACAUCUUUUCUUUAACAACUACCAUACAAGCUAUUCGCUUAAUACAUGCUAGUAGGUAGGCUGGUGGUGGAGUAUUUAUUUUCGUCUUUUUUUGGUCUGUCUGUAUUUCGGUUUUGGGAUGGUGCGAAUCCAUCUAUCCACCAUUCUUUUAUCUUUCAGUAGUGUCAACCUCAGUUCUGGUUCUUUAUCUUGGAAUACUCUCCGUUGUCCUGGAAGCAAUGCUUGAAAGAAAGCGUAAGGAAGCGUCAAAUCAGUAUGAUGUAUUGGCAAAGCCAGUAAGAAGGGAAUCGAAAGUAGAUAGGGACUCCCACUGUAGAUGUGGUUUUAUACCUUGAUGAAUUGGUACCUUAUAGCAUAGCGAAUUGACUUUUCUUUCAAAAGGAUAUAUCAACCUGUAGUGAAACCGGGCCACCGAGCUUGCUUUUACCGCUCUUACAGCUCUCUCUCUUCUUUUUUAUGGGUAGUUUGGCCAGGAAAGAGAAAGAGGAAUGUACCCAUUUCUAUUUAUCCAUUCUCAUAGAAAGUACCAAAAAUGUUUUUGAAUGUAUGGAGCAGGCGUAUGAGUUGAUAUCUUCAAGAGUAAAAUCCUUUUCUUGCCCACCCAGCCAUAAAAGACAAAAAUCGUUACGAGCGGUCUUAAACCCUCACCUCAAUCUCAAAAAUGGAAUUGAAAAGCUCCAAUUUAAAUAAUGGUACCGGGGAAAUACCCAGGGAAGAAUCAUUCUUUGAAUCAUCCAGAUCUAUCAAUUUGCGAAUUCAAUAAAAAACGGACUGAUCCUCGGAAUACACCAUCAUCUUUCGAAGUGCGCAGUCAAUAUUAUGUUAUAUUCAAAGAAACAAGUCAAAGAGUAAAGGCUUCGCCCUUCAAUACCACACUUCCAAUCGAAAUUCCUACGAGAUUGACGUUCGAAGAAAAAGACAUGGUUUGAUAGAAACUUUAAGUGGGUAUCAAAUAAACUGGAAUGAAUGGUAUCAAUUUCUUCUUUUCUAUACUGAAUCUGCUUCGGUAUCUCUUUCUUCCUUCCCUUCUGUAAACCAAGCAGUGACUAGCCUCUGGCACUCACUUUCCAAAGCACCAAUUGACUUGCUUUCAGAACAACCCUGAUCAGUUAUACCUGAAAUACCACCCGUACGUAGUACGCCAUUUCCAACGCGGAGCGCCUUUAUUUUCGUAUUGAACUCCCCUAGGAAGAAAAAGUUAGACCGUAGCCUUGUCGAACAACCUCGUUUCUCGCUUUUGUCGAUUGACUCGUGGGACUCUACUGAGUCCCAGCAUGGGUGUGGUAGAUUACUGACGUGAAGCCGGACCUCUAUGAGUGCUCUACAUGGCCGGAUCAAAGCUAUUCUAAAAACUAGAUCCAUUGGAGUGGGAAGUACUCAAGAUGUAGAAGAGGACUCAAGCAGGUUUGGUCCUCUUUCUCUGAUGUGUUCUUAGAACCCACUACCCUCCCUCCUAAAAGACCAUGUGACCAUCGGAUUCACCUCACGAUAGUCAACCAGUGAAUCAAAGGCCUUAUAGGUAUUCACACCACCGGAUGAAAUUGAAGCCAUAAUCAAGGAGUUACUCUAGAAUGGUACUCUACAACCUAGUUCAUGCCUCACCGGCUCUUCUUUACAAGAAGAAAGAAGGUUCGUGGCGCCUAUGGAUUAUAGGCAACUCAAUGCGCAAACCGUAAAAAAGAAAUACCCGAUACCGGUCAUUGAUGAUCUUCUGGAUGAGCUACACGGUUAUACUGUGUACUCAACAAUCGUUUUAUCUAUUCCCACAUCGAUUCACCAAUCCUGGAACUCGUUAUGGAUAGAAGGUCCGUAGAAGUGAAAGUAGGACGACGGGAGAAAAGAGUAAGGAGUACCGGAAAAAGAAGAUUUUGGACUUUCUGCCCACGAAGAAAUAGUAGCAUUUGAAACUGGAAAGAUUUACUUUGGAUAGUAAAUCCCCAAGGAAGGGCUAUAAUCCAAACAAAGGAGGAGCUAGCGGACAGUUCGAAUUUCAACGAUUAGGGAGGGGAAUGAAACACUUGUCUUUCACAAUCAAUUCUUUCUUUUUUUAUGUUUAGGACACGCGAAGCGAGAGCGAAACUCGCUAUGAGGAGAAGACUCGGCAAGAGAGGUUUGAACAAGAGGAACUGCCGUCUAGUUGAGUUUGAUCAUUCUCUCUUUCUUUCAAGAGCUGAAUAAGGGCAUAUCCGCAAAGGAGAGAGAAAUCGGACUUUCUUCUUUACCCCCCUCAUUAUUCAAGACGUGAAUAUAAAGUGUAUUGUACUCCCUUGGAUCUUUUCCGGGAUCUUUACUCGUCGUUGAUCAAGGAAGCUAGAAGGAAGAUGGGUGGUAGGGUGAAUGGACAUUCGUAUCCUCUCCGACUCGUCGGUUAGGAGAGUAGCGACCAAAAAGAAAUCAUUAUACAGGAUAACUGCUGUAUAGAUAAAAUGUAGGAAGGAGAAAGUUGGUUUCAAUGAGUCAUGUGAAUUGUAGAAGAAAUAGAUAAACAAGGCGGGUUAAUAUAUAUACGUUGAAAAGCAAGGGGAUAAAUUGAACGAAAUGAAGAGCAAUCCAGAAUCCGAUUUUGUAUACUAUAAGAAAAAGGCACUGAAAACUUGGAAACGGAAGAUGUUGUAACAGAUAUGGGUAGUCACACAUUAGGCAAAAUGGUGUAGUGGUUGGGCCAGGUAGCUUCUUCUUUUGAACAGCAUUUCAUUCUGUUUUGGAUGCUUUCUACUAUGUUUCAAGUGAUCAAAGAAGAGUUUAUUUCCCACUACUCAUAUCACAUCUUAUGUGUUGAUGCAAGCUGACUAAAUCAAUAAGAUGGUAUUCGUAUUUGAUUAGACAAGAUGGUAUUCUUCUUUAUUCCGGAGCACAACAAUCCGGAUCUCUAUCUUAUAGCUUAUCCUUCCUAUUCUGUAUGUAUUACGGUCAUGUCAAGUCAAUGGUCUGUCUGCCCUGCAACCGGUCUUGAAUGGCUUCAGUGAAUUGUUUGCUGAGCCUACAGAGUGACCUCCUAGGAGGACAAUAGACCACAAAAUACCCUUACUACCAGGCACUAAACCUGUCAAUCAUUAGAGAAGGGACAGAGUUCAAGAUAAGACUAUCUUGCCUGUUUGGUAGAGAGAGUACCGGGUAUUCCGAUGGUUAAAGAUUCAAGUCUUAGUGGCAAAGGGGGACAGCUUUGGCCUGCAACCGUUUCCACUUUACGGCCCACAGCUUGUGUUCUUCGGUAUUAAUUCAGUUUCUGUUUGUUUGGCUUGUCUCGUGCACCACCUGAAUUGAAUCAUAGUAAUGGGACUUUGGUAAUCCAGUGAUGAAGUCAAUGCUGAUAAUGGACCAUGCUUCAUCAGGAAUGGGUAGAGGAUCGAAGAGGCCAGGGAGUUUUUAAUGUUCUACCUUAGCUUGCUGACAGAUUUUACACUUGUUGACAAAAGAUUCCACUGAUUGAAAGAUUCCUGUCCAAGCAAAUAGUGCCUUGAUGCGGUGAUAAGUAGCACUAAUGCCAGAGUGGGCACCAAUACCACUGGCAUGAAGUGCUUGCAAGAUGUUUUUUUUCAUUUAGAAGUUUGCACCAACCCAUACUCUUCCUCUAUAUCGAAUGACCCCAUUAUGCAAUGAAUAUUUGCUAUUCUUGUGAGUGCUCAGGACUGCCAAUUCAGAUAGUAAAUUCUGGGUGAAUGUGUCUUUGUUGUACCCUGCAACAAUAUCAGUGAGCCAUUGUGGUUGACAGGAAGUAAUGGCAUUGAGUUCAUCUGGCUCAUGUAAUCUAGAUAGUGGUGCAUCAGCUGCCCUAUUCUCUGAGCCUUUUAUUGGAUGGUAUAUUGUAAUCCCAUGAGCUUGAGGAAAGGAAAGCUUUGUGCUGUGCUGCAUUGGUGUUUUAAGUCUUUGAGCAGUCAAAUGAGCUAAGCUCCUGUGAAUGAAACGCCUGUCCUGCUAAGCCCAAACUCUAAUGUGCUUUACUUGGAAGUAGGCCACUCUUUCAGUGUGAGGAUCUUCUUUUAGUCUGUAGCCACCCCUUGCCCACUAAUGACAUGACCCAGGUAUUCUAUCUGUGGUUGAGCAAAUGAACAUUUAUUCAACUUCACAUAUAGUUGAUUCUGCUUCGGAAGGUCAAAUACUUGCUGCAAAUGGGUGACAUGAUCUUGCAAGGAUUUGCUGUAGAUUAAGAUGUCAUCAACAAAAACAAGUACACAAACCCUAGUCAGCUCAGCCAGAAUUGUGUUCAUAGCACUCUGGAGGGUGGGUGGUGCAUUUGUGAGCCCAAAUAGCCUAAAAUUCAUAGUGACGUGGGUCUUGAAUGCCGUUUUGUAUUCGUCUGCUUCAUGUAAUCUUAUCUGAUGGUAACCAGCUCUCAGAUCCAGCUUAGUAAACCAAACAGCACAAGAUAACUCAUCCAACAAUUCUUCAACUACAGGCAUUGGGUAUUUUAUUAGACGAAUCCAUCUUAUUUCCUUAUUUCUCUGUUUUGGUAGCAGGAGAAGUAGUUUGUUCAGCCCGGACUUCAAAGUAGUCUCCCCCGUUGACCUUCUUUUUUAGAUAGAAUCCUCAAUGAGUGGAAAGGACUCCCAAACUUGCUCCACAGUACUAUACCAUACAGAGCCGCGCCCUUGUGAUAUGAUAAGAAGAAAAGGGGCCAGGCCGCCCUCUUUUCUUUUCCGCACCAAGCCUUCUUGUAAAAUCGGGUGUAUAGCUCAGUUGGUAGAGAAUUGGGCUUUUAACCUAAUGGUCGCAGGUUCAAGUCCUGCUAUACCCAAAACAAAAAAAACCACUCUUGUAUUCGUAAGGAUGCAUAGUAGCCUUCAAAGAGCACUCUUUGGCCUUGAGAAAAGCCCCUUUCUCGUCAACAUCUCGACUUCGCUCGUUGUUUGAGGUAAGUAUAAAGGAGAUCAGACUGGCUCGGUCAUUGAUAGGCCGGCCUUCUCCUUAUUCAUUGGAUAGGGCGCGGGGGAAAGUCAAGUCAAGCACUAGUUAGUUGGGGUGGGACGCACCAAAGCAGCGUUCGUUGCACUAGCGCCUUAUCUUUUGAAGCUAAACAGAGGCUCGAAAGACGGAGUACGUCCGAAGUCGUUGGCUGCCUUUUUGUAGUGCGCAAGUCAGAGUGAACUUCUUCUUCUGUUCUGCGAAUCUACUAACGAGAACUGCCGUACAGUCCUAUCUUUUUUUAAGAAAGAUCGUAGAUGAACGUUUCGUUUCGUUACCUAAGUAGUUGAGCAAUUCAUUCCAAGGUAAACAAAGAGGUAUUUCCUUUUCUCGUUCAGUCCUUCUCUCCUUCCAUCCCAGUAGGCCUAUUCAUGCUUUUUUGCUAUCCAUCUUGAUCAAAUAGAAGAAGGGGAAAUUCAGACUAGGCAAAACACCUCCAAAAGUGAAAAAAAGAUAAAACAACUUUCUUAUUGUCAAGUAGUAAACCAGAGUUCUCAUCCUAGGAAACCAUAUCGAUCAUCGGUUCAGAGCUCCCAACUACGAAGCUCUUUUCUAGAGCGAGUCAACAAUUCGUGGAUCCAUGGUUUGGAUGAAGCUAUGUACCCGGGUAGAGAUGAUUUGUCUCAAAGAUGUUCCGCUCAUCCAAGAAUCUUAAACUUCAUCUACAUAAACUCAUAAAUAGCCCUUUCCUUUCUUUUCUUGACUUAAAAAGGUAAUCAAUCCUUUCUUUUCAUCUUUUAUCAAGUCUUCCUCUUCCUGAUUGAGUCAAUCAGGGAUAGAAAUUCGGAUCAACUAUGAGGAGUAGGGCUGCUGGGCAAGUGAAUGAACUCUGUCCUAGGCAUUUCCAAUAAGUUCAGUGAAGUGAGGGCGAAGCCUUUUUUGAGAGGGAAAAUACACUCCAAAUGAUAUUCCAUAAUGGAAGGAAUGAGUGGAAGAUUUACUGGAAGAAAAAAAUACGAUACUUUUCUAGUCGUAGGUAGGGCUACCUAUCUAGUUUCGUGCUUCGGGCGUACCAGAUUCAAUAGGCUAGGUUAUAGCUGACAGAUUUCUUUAAGAACUAGCCGCCUAUAAGCCUCGCUAGUAGUAUUCCUGCCCAGUGCCGGAGUAGUGACUCACAAGGUAAGUUCUCCUCGAUGCAUUUCCAACACUCUCUUUUUCUACGUACACUUUGGAUUCCUCAGUAGGUAGGGACAACGUUCGAGAUCUCAUCCGACCGUCUAUUUCUCACUGAUUGGGAGAUUGGAUUGGAAUCCGAGGAGAACUGAUUGGAUGUCAUGGAACGAAUGGGGCACUACGUUGGUUACCCACUGCUAGCCUAGCGGAGAUUUCUCUAUUUGUUGAAAGUGGAAAGGAGUCAUAUUUGAAUAGGAAAGUUGGGCUCGUUCACUCACACCUUUCUUUGAUUAUCGAUGACUUGGCUUCUUGCUCAAGUAAGCACCCGGCAUACCAAUUCAUUAUCCUUGGGGCUCGGCUCGCUCCUUCCUAUCUACGUUAUUCUUUCUUUGUUACUCUCGUAAUGACGUUCCGAAAGAAAUCAAGGUUACCAGGUCACAGCUCUGAUUCUUCUUCCCUUAUAGAACCUUCCCGCAAGAAAUCAGUGGAAGUGGGUCCGCCCCUACAACUCAUCAAAUCUGCCUUCUUUUCUGUUCUGCGCUGUACAUAUUCUCAAGUUAUGAGAAAGAAUGGAUUUGAAUGAAAUUUUGAAUUAACAAAAUAAACGAAUGAAGAAUAUUUUUACCUCUUAUCUGAUAAGCAAUCAAAGCAUUUGAACUGCUCAAUGAACAAUAAAGAAAGAGCUAAGGUAAAAAAGUAUAUGUGUUACUAAUAGUAAACCAAUUUUAUUUGGAGUUUGCUUUCAGCUGAACAUGUUAUAACUACAAAUGAGGUGAGGCUUGAUUAGGUGGCUUUGCAAGAACUAGGGAGGAACACAAGUUAUGUACUUUAGGCUAAACAUAUGAAUUUAGAAGAUCAACUUUUCCAAUUGGACAUAAACAAAAGCAACCAAUAAUAUAUAUAUAUAAACUUCCAUAAUAUUUUCUCUAUGGUGAAGUAAUUUCAUCGAUAACCACUAAACGAUUAAGUAGCGAUGUAUGCAAAGCUAGACAACGAACAUUUCAUAAUACACUCGUUCUGCAUAUCUUUAGGAUAAAAGAAAAAACUGCGAAAAAAUAAGUUUUCCUAAAUAAAAAGAUCAAGAAAUCUAUUUUUUAUGGUUCUUAUUUCGUUGAAAACGUUUCCAUGAGACUUUCUUUCAUUGAAGAAGUCCAUGACUUGUUCUAGGUGAUAUGAGGUUGAACAGGCUUUAGAAAAAAUGCAAAGAAGGGUACAUGAGGGUGGAAUAAAAAUCAAAAAGAUGACCCCUUCUUUCUUCCUGAGCAUUACUGAUAAAUAUUCAUUCUUUAUACGUUAGGUUGGGUUUCAGAUGUAUAUCAUUUAUUAUAUGAAACCAAAAAGAAGAAAUGACAAGAAAGUUGUAUAUAGAUGGAGGAAUAAAUUAUGAUGUGGAAAACAAGGCUGGGGUUCAAAUCCUGUCAUCCCUACCUAUUACUUCUCCUAUGGGCAGUAACGAGGGAUCAAUUGAGAUCGAUUCAAAUUGGACAAAAUUCAGAGUUUCAUUUUUCUAUAUGCAUGCGGUACAAAAAUCAUCCUUUUCUUUACUGCUUUAUCUCCCGGAAAGCGCUCUUAGUUCAGUUCGGUAGAACGUGUGUCUCCAAAACCCAAUGUCGUAGGUUCAAAUCCUACAGAGCGUGAUUCUGUUCUUGUUAUGUCGAAUCAAAAAAAAAGAACUUAACAAAGUGGAAUGUACGACUACUGUUCUUAACCCAAAUCAAAGAAAACAACAGAAAUACUCGACCUGGAGAGGAGACCACUGACCAAUCUCCGUCCAUUUUCCCUUGCCUUUCCUUUACGGGUAUGCCUGUUUUAGGGGACCUUAUAGUAAUAAUAGUCUAAUAGACCAACUAGAAGAGGAGAGGAAUCCUUCAUGAAUCACCUUGCCUUGCUGAAAGAGGUUUAUUAAAAACCGCCCAUGGAACUCUUGUUUUGAGGAAGCAAUGAACAUUGUCUUUUUCCANNNNNNNNNNCAAGACUUGACCAAAAGCUCCCCACAAUUUCUUGAUUUGAAGCAGUUCGGAGGCCUUCUUCUAGUUACGAUUCGCCCUCGUCUGUCACUAUAGAUGUUCUAGCUUUAGUCUUUAGUGUCAUUUCGAGUUAUGCAUUUGGAAUGCUCCCCUUCCAAGCAAACUAAACUAACCUUGCUAAGUGCUAGCCAGGUGAAAGUGCUUUUCGCUAGUAGUUUUGGUGUUCUCUUCCCUUUAAUCCAAUUGAAUCAAUCGAUCAGAAGAACAAGAACAAGAAGGCACUGUACUUUUAAUAGGCCCUACUUCCGAGACCUCUAUCUCUAUUUAUUUUCAUUCUUCCCUUUGGUCAGAUACUAGAAUAUAGUAUUUUUAUUGGACAUCCUCCUCACUAUUGAAAUUAGGGAAAACCGGAUCAGUAAACUAUUGCAUCUAAGGGAACAGAGCAGCAGAUCCCGGGAUAAGAAAGAUACAGAAAUAUGGAACUUCACUGCCUUACUUGGAAAGCUAAGCAGGUUAUUGACCCACUAAUCUUACCUUCCCUCAAACCUUCCACUGAAAAGAGCAGAUCCCAGAAAAAAGGAUAGCGAAUGAUCGAUUCACCAUUGAUAGCAUUAACCCUAAAAGGAGGGAUGAAGCACAUGCCACCACAUCCACUAAAGAGAAGGAAAAGAGAAAAGAGAGGCGCCAGGUCCAAGAAGGUAUGGAAAAGGCAUUAGAGGUUUGAUUCGCUCAAGGUUUUGAACAACAAGUCAGGUAAACCACCAGUUAAUACCAACCACGGUUGACUUGAUUUUCGAUAGAUUGAAAUGCUUUCAAAUUCAGCAUGGUUGUGAGAUUAAUCGUACCCACCCGGCUAGGUCACCUGCGAGACUCGCUAAUAUACUACUUUCUUUCAGGCAAUGCAAAAAAUAUGGUUUCUAGUACCUCACUAACCACUGCUCGCGAGAAGCAUGGGGGGAGUCUAGAAGCACGGCGGGAGUCUAGAUAGAAGGGUUUUCAAUAAUGGUGGUUCGUUGCCUCACCGUAAUAAGUGCCUUAGUACUUUCGAGUCUAAGGGGCGUGAGUUAGAGGCACAAUAUUCUUUCUAUACAGUCAACUAGCAGCCCUAGCUAAUUGAGCAUCAAUCACUAUUUCUCUAAGUCAUAACUAGUACCUCCCUUGUGGCGAAACCAAUGGUUCACUUGAUUUCUAAAGAACAGCUUUCGUCGUACGGCAGGGCCAAGGAUAUAUAUGCCCUUCUCUUCAUUGCUUUCCUGAAAUGCGUAAGUAAUCACCUUCGAAAUGGUACCAAAAGGCCGGCUCAAAUCGUCUAUUACAGCCUGGUGGAACCUAUUCUUCGACUACUUCUUCCUUCGACUAGCGUGCUUAGAUAAAAUACAACGGUACCUAUAUCGCUCGCUGUUGAAAUUGUAGUUUAGGUGGACUGUAUGUCUUUACAUCUUCUCCGGCCGAUCGGGGUCUCCAAAGUAAGCAAAAAAAGGAGUAUUGACAGCCAUCUUAUGUUGUUUGUCGGGAUUCAUUCUAACCAGAGUGAGCUCACGGACCACCUUCGAACGAAAGUGAACUCUCUUCCUCCGAUCUCUAUAAUGGGUCUAGUAACUGCUUUAGCUGCUCGUCUCACAAUUAAGUUGGUGGGUGCUUGGUCCAUCUUCUUAUUCCAAAGCUCCGAGAUGAAUUCAAUCUUAUCUUACUGGGGCUCUCCCCUUCGGUUUGAAGAAGACCGCGCAUGCUUAUUCUCAAACUGGUACACACUUUGGUAUUCUACCCUGCAUCAAAGAAUAGGCCUCAACACUUUGAGUGUGAAAUCCAGCUACUCUGCUAUCGCCUCCUGCGCGAACAGCUUUCGAGUAAGAAAGUUCAAAUGCAUUUUUACACCUAUUGAAGGAAUUGAAUGGAAUAGAAAAAAAAGAGUGGUAUGGAGACUUGAUAUUGUACCAAUACUUUAAAGUAGUACAGAGGAUACUUCAUAUUGUACCAAUACACAUUCAAAUCACUAUCACCAAUUUCUUACAGGAUUCAGACUUUAAUCAAUAAAAGCGCGUACUAUUUAUUACCACCAGGAAUGGAAAAAGAGUACUAUGUGGAUCUGGUGCGACUACAGAAAAUGGAGCAUUGGUACAACUGAUCUUCACAGGAGAGCGGUAUGCUUAAAGCCAAGAGUGCGGCUUAAGCACCACCUUACCUUAAGAGCAGUCAAAGCUAUAAGCUGGUAUAUCACCCUACAACAAUUUUUAAGCUGGUUUGCCUCCACCAUUGGAUUUGGUUGCAGCUCGCACCGACACCUCGCAGUUUGUGUACAAGGUUGGUAGUCACACUGCUUACCUCCUAUUAUAUGUCGAUGACAUCAUCCUUACAGCCUCCAGUGAUGCUUUCCUUCGCCACAUUAUCGGUCUUCUUCAUGAAGCUCGACAAGAACCUAUUUUCUGUUUUCUUCUGUAUCGGGCCAAAGGGCAUGACUCUGACAUGACUCUCAAUGGCGCUAUUCCGUCAUCAGAUAGCUCGGUUGCAGCUCCGGUUCCAGGUUUCGAUUCCAUUCGUUUCAUAAUUUCUUAUAAGUGAUGUUAUGUUACAUUUUGACUGAGGAUUGAAUAAGUUGGGUCAUGAGAAUGGAAGUUGACCCAUGGAACUCUUGUUUUGAGGAAGCAAUGAACAUUGUCUUUUUCCAUUCUCAAUAAAUGAGGAAGGAGGGGUGAGGUCCUCACUUGCGAGUGAGGCAAGGCUUUCUUUUAUAAUACAUCCUACCCGAUUUUGGUUGACGAUUGCGUUCUAUUCCAAUUAUUCACUUGUUUUUCUUGUCACUGUGGCGAGACCAGAUGAGAGAGAGAACUAUUUUCCAUUUCCAGACAGACCCCGAGCCGAGGUUGGAACAAUUCUUUAUUUUCUUGUUGGUUCCUUCUUUAUUAUUUAUUCCAAGUUUUUCUCUUCCAUUCGGUUCAUUAGCUUUAGGAAAAAUAGAAGCUGCGGAAAUGCUCGCUUCUAAAAGGCUUAAAGGCUCUGAUCAAGGCAAUGAACAUUUUGCACUUGGAAACUAAUAAGAAAGGAAUUCAAAUCAUAGUUCAAUACAGACUUUUUCUCUUUUAAGAAGGGUGAAACUUUCCUUCCAAUACUUGUGCGCUCUACCCAUCUCUACUGAACAAACCCACUACACAUCGAGUGGCAGGGUAUGUGAGUAGGCCUUUUCAAGGACAUUCGAAACAACAUGUCGAUAAAUUGCUAUAGAAAGUGGGGCUAGAUCGAGAGUUCUGACCUUUUCAUGGGUUGGGUGAUCUUCAAACUCUUGUUUUUCUAGCGAAAGAACGCCCUUCUGAGCGAUGAUCUCCUACAAGCGAGUAUAGUAAGGUUGACUUCAAUUGAGACAGAAAUGUCACUGGUCAGCUCCUUAGCGUGACAAUUAACACCACUUUCUUAUUACCUAAUAGAUUAGAUAAGGGAAGAAGGCAGGCCAAAGCUUAUAGAUUCGGAGAUCGUACUUCUAACGCUUUGUCUGAGUCAGUCCUACGACCCCUUCCGGCUGAGACACGAAUCCUAGCCUAUCUGAGUCGCGGAAUGAAGGGCUCUUCAGAAGGCGCCACCCAAGUCUCCUUUGAUACUUCGGAGUCAGGAAUUUUUUUUCCAAGGAAGGCGGAUUUUCUGCGUUCCGCAGCACGAACAGGGUGUACAGAAGAUCGAUGUGCCAUCUUUCUAACCACCUUCAUUUGUUGUAUGAUCAGUAGGGAAGGGAGCCUUUGAUAAAGGGACCCCAAACCAAGAAAUCUACUGUCUCAGAGCGACAGUCAAGCUCGUAUCGCGGAACUAGAACAUUUCUUUGAUUGAUAGGUCAGAUAGGAAGCAGGCAAGCAAACCAAGUUAUAGGUUUGGAAGUUAGAACUCGGAAAGGUUGUCCUGUGACUACCUUUGAAGUCUUUGGGUAGGACAUCAGGCUAAGGUCUUAUGAUGAGCCACGCGCAUAUGAGGUUUACUGCAGCCCUAAAGCUCUGUCCCCUAUCCUACCACUAGAUCUCCUAUGCCGGAACAUGAACAGAGAAAGCUGUGAGUGUAGUCUUAGGAACGAACCCGGGGUUGCUCUCGCAAAAAGAUUGUACUAAAGAAAGCUAGAAAGCUCAAUUCCAAGCUUUAAACCUCUGGUCCACGGGUCGGUGAACGAAUGGGUUUUGGGAAAUAGAGAACAUGGACUCGAUUGAACAAAGGUGGCACCGGAAUGAAUAGCCCACUUGUUUCGGGCAAGAAUGAAUGGGACUGAUCGACUCGAGUUACCGAGCGACCUCCACUCUUCGACUCGAGCUUUCGCUUCUGCUUUUCUCUUGUUUUGAUUUAUUAGCUUUUUAGGGAAAGAAGAGGGUCUGAAAUACAACUAUGUCUACGAGUGCCGCGAAUGAACCUUCGGUUCUUCCCAAGAACAAGGAGACACGAACUAAAUAACUCGUAUCAGGCUACGGGAAUAGUGAACGGGAAGAAGGAACUAGUGAGGCUUUCGUUGGUCAAACAAUAUGCCCUCCUCACUUGAGGAGAGUGAAGGUCAUGACUUAUUGAAGCAGAACGUCAAUUGGCCAAGAGAAGGGGAACUCCUUUCGUCGGUAACUAUUGAAUUGCCUAUCUAACAGUGGAGCGAAGCGGAACGUUGAACGGGAAACUCGUGUCGUCGGUUAUCCAAUUUCCCUCCUUUCUGUUUCGACAAAGAAAACGUUUAGGUAUCGGUAAUAGGAUUCCCACUAUGAUUUGAAGAAAAAGAUAGAUUCUACAAUAAUCCAUAAAUAAUAUACAGAAUCAGGCUCCGUAAUCAAGUGCUCGCUGUGAGAAGAAGAUCUACAGGCAUGUACCCAUUUCUCCAUGCAAAAUAAGUUUGAACCCGAGUGAGUAUGGACCAUACGCUCAUCUUUCUUCUCAAUCUACACCUCGUUCCGCGAGAGACCUAUCCUCGUUUCGAAAUAAAGGACCGUAGUGAGGAUCGAUCCCGGAUAAGCGAGUCAGUGUAGGGACAGAGGCUGAUGAUUCUAAAGGUGAUUUCUAACUACAAGAUGACUUUAUUUGAAAACGGAAUCCAAAUAUCAACAAAAAGAUGAAUGGAAAGUCUUGUCGAUAUGAAUUGAUCUUCAACCCAAUGACAAUGCUUCGAUUUCGAUCUUUACUUCUUUCUUGGAUGCCUGAAGUUUGUGUUCGCAUUUCAUCAAAGGAAAAGUGGGCUGUACCCACAUGAAGAAAAGAGUUGCUCGUGUAAAAGCAAUAUCUUCUAUUUGACUUAUCUAGCCGUGUCUUGUCUUGCACAUACUCGGCUCGGUGAAUGGUUCAUCUUCGAUUGGCAUGGUCCUUUGGAUGUAAGAGAUCUCGUUUGCUGGCCGGGCCCUUCCAUGAGUUUAGAUCUCUAUGUAU
rnacentral:lncRNA from 1 species